rnacentral:rRNA from 1 species
CAGUCGCCGCGGGAAUACGUAGGGUGCAAGCGUUAAUCGGAAUUACUGGGCGUAAAGCGUGCGCAGGCGGUUAUAUAAGACAGAUGUGAAAUCCCCGGGCUCAACCUGGGAACUGCAUUUGUGACUGUAUAGCUAGAGUACGGCAGAGGGGGAUGGAAUUCCGCGUGUAGCAGUGAAAUGCGUAGAUAUGCGGAGGAACACCGAUGGCGAAGGCAAUCCCCUGGGCCUGUACUGACGCUCAUGCACGAAAGCGUGGGGAGCAAACAGGAUUAGAUACCCCAGUAGUCCCUGUCUCUUAUAU